GCUUGUCUAGCUCAGUCGGUAGAGCGCAAGACUCUUAACCUUGAAGUUUUGGGUUCAAGCCCCAUGGUGGGCG
rfam:Zea mays cultivar B73 chromosome 6, whole genome shotgun sequence.